GUCCACGCCCUAAACGAUGAUGACUAGUUGUUGGAGGAGUUAAAUCCUUUAGUAACGCAGCUAACGCGAGAAGUCAUCCGCCUGGGGAGUACGGUCGCAAGAUUAAAAACUCAAAGGAAUUGACGGGGCCCGCACAAGCGGUGGAUGAUGUGGUUUAAUUCGACGCAACGCGAAAAACCUUACCUAACCCUUGACAUGUACGGAACCUCAUAGAGAUGUGAGGGUGCCCGAAAAGGGAGCCGUAACACAGGUGCUGCAUGGCUGUCGU
rnacentral:rRNA from 1 species